CAAGCAGCGGAGCAUGUGGUUUAAUUCGAAGCAACGCGAAGAACCUUACCAGGUCUUGACAUCCCUCUGAAUGGCGCUUAGCAGCGCAGGUCUUUCGGGACAGAGGAGACAGGUGGUGCAUGGUUGUCGUCAGCUCGUGUCGUGAGAUGUUGGGUUAAGUCCCGCAACGAGCGCAACCCUUGCCUUUAGUUGCCAGCACGUAAAGGUGGGCACUCUAGAGGGACUGCCGGUGACAAACCGGAGGAAGGUGGGGAUGACGUCAAAUCAUCAUGCCCCUUAUGAUCUGGGCUACACACGUGCUACAAUGGCCGGUACAACGAGAAGCGAAACCGCGAGGUGAAGCAAAUCUGAUAAAACCGGUCUCAGUUCGGAUUGCAGGCUGCAACUCGCCUGCAUGAAGUCGGAAUCGCUAGUAAUCGCAGGUCAGCAUACUGCGGUGAAUACGUUCCCGGGCCUU
rnacentral:rRNA from 1 species